rnacentral:rRNA from 1 species
AGAGUUUGAUCAUGGCUCAGGACGAACGCUGACGGUGUGCUUUAGGCAUGCAAGUCGAACGAGAAAGCCUUCGGGGUGAGUAAAGUGGCGAACGGGUGAGUAACACGUGGGCAACCUGCCCCUCGCAGGGGGACAACCGGAGGAAACUCCGGCUAAUACCCCGUAAGCUCUACACGCCGCAUGGCGAGUAGAGGAAAGGUAGCUUCGGCCAUCCGGCGAGGGAUGGGCCCGCGGUGCAUUAGCUAGUUGGUGGGGUAACGGCCCACCAAGGCGACGAUGCGUAGCUGGUCUGAGAGGAUGAUCAGCCACACUGGGACUGAGACACGGCCCAGACUCCUACGGGAGGCAGCAGCCAGGAAUCUUGGGCAAUGGGCGAAAGCCUGACCCAGCAACACCGUGUGGGUGAUGAAGGCCUUCGGGUCGUAAAGCCCUGUUGAUAGGGACGAAGGGCGAAGGGUUAAUAGCCCGGAGCUUGACGGUACCUUUCGAGGAAGCCCCGGCUAACUACGUGCCAGCAGCCGCGGUAAUACGUAGGGGGCGAGCGUUGUCCGGAAUUAUUGGGCGUAAAGAGCGUGUAGGCGGUUCGGUAAGUCUGUCGUGAAAUCCUGGGGCUCAACCCUGGGCGUGCGAUGGAUACUGCCGGGCUAGAGGGUGGUAGAGGCGAGUGGAAUUCCCGGUGUAGCGGUGAAAUGCGCAGAUAUCGGGAGGAACACCAGUAGCGAAGGCGGCUCGCUGGGCCACACCUGACGCUGAGGCGCGAAAGCUAGGGGAGCGAACAGGAUUAGAUACCCCCGUAGUCC